CAUGGUUGGAGUUGCCCUUAGGCGGGACAAGAUGGCGCUGCCCUCGCAGCUUAAAAUAUAGAAUCCUAUAAACACAUUAAACUACCUACCAAUAUAUAAGCACUCUCUACACCUGUUCUCUGUCUUGGCUCAUCCCUCCGUCUCCCGACUUAGGGUAUCUCUCUUCACAGAUAACCACGGCGGACGGUUGGCCAACCUCGUGCGACUACCCAUCCCUUCUAAUUAGACCUUCUCAUCCUCCCCAAAACCCCACAUAAACUACAUGACUGCGACUACUUUGGUUUAAUUUUUUCUUCCACUCAUCUGAAAUUUCAUUCGCACUUUUCUUUCUUUGGUUUGGUAUGGUGCAAUUGCUGAUUACAUUUUUGUUUUAUGGAUUAAAUUUUGGGCUUUUGUCUUUGGGUGCUUAUAGGUGGUUUUUGGGCUGCCAAUUGAAAUUCUCCCUCAUAUCCAGGUUUUUAGAUUCUCAUUCUGAAGCCUCCAGUGAAGCCUCUGAUGCUUUGACAAUUGAGCAACUCUGAGCUUACAAGCUGGAACUUCAGGAAGGCAUAUCUCUUUGCAAUCGGAACCCAAAGAAAGGAAUUGAGAGUUCAGGAGAAAAUGAAGAAGAGGAUGAUAUGUUAGGGCAAAGCUCAAGAGGCAUCACAGAGUACUCCUCGAGUCAUACAAAUUACAUGGGAGUAUUUUACUAGCAACAAUAAUGGUAUGCUUUUCAUGGACAUUGAUACCUUGAUUUUCAUGGACCACCAUUUAGGAAGUAUCUUUUGUACAUGUAACUAAGCAACUAAAUAUCUUCUAAGAUAUUUUGUUUUUGCAAUUGAGGAACUAUGUAUGUAUAUAAUAACUACUCUUUAUUUAAUAUAAGUCUGGAAGUGUUAUUGAUCAA